GAUGAAGAACGCAGUGAAAUGCGAUACGUAAUGUGAAUUGCAAAUUCAGUGAAUCAUCGAGUCUUUGAACGCACAUUGCGCCCCCUGGUAUUCCGGGGGGCAUGCCUGUCCGAGCGUCAUUGCUGCCCUCAAGCACGGCUUGUGUGUUGGGCCCCGUCCUCCGAUCCCGGGGGACGGGCCCGAAAGGCAGCGGCGGCACCGCGUCCGGUCCUCGAGCGUAUGGGGCUUUGUCACCCGCUCUGUAGGCCCGGCCGGCGCUUGCCGAUCAACCCAAAUUUUUAUCCAGGUUGACCUCGGAUCAGGUAGGGAUACCCGCUGAACUUAAGCAUAUCAAUAGCGGAGGA
rnacentral:misc_RNA from 1 species